UUUCCUUUUUUCUUGUAUUCCCUUCCUUUCCUUCUUUUUCCUCUCUCUCUUUCAAAUAAAAGAAACCCUUCAGCUCAUUAGAAGUACAUGAAUAUAAUAGCGCUCAUCAAUCUCCCCAGACUAUAACGCGCGCUAAUCUUUUCCAUUAAGUAGAUAAGUAUGUAGUUUCAACGUCGAUCUAUUUGUUGAAUUAGAACUUUGCAUAAUAUGAUGGCGCUCUUUAAAAUUCU